rnacentral:rRNA from 1 species
AACGAACGCUGGCGGCAUGCCUAACACAUGCAAGUCGAACGAGACCUUCGGGUCUAGUGGCGCACGGGUGCGUAACGCGUGGGAACCUGCCCUUAAGUUCGGAAUAACUCCCCGAAAGGGGUGCUAAUACCGGCUCAUGUCCUCGGUCCAAAGAUUUAUCGCCUUUGGAUGGGCCCGCGUUGGAUUAGCUAGUUGGUAGGGUAAAAGCCUACCAAGGCGACGAUCCAUAGCUGGUCUGAGAGGAUGAUCAGCCACACUGGGACUGAGACACGGCCCAGACUCCUACGGGAGGCAGCAGUGGGGAAUAUUGGACAAUGGGCGAAAGCCUGAUCCAGCAAUGCCGCGUGAGUGAUGAAGGCCUUAGGGUUGUAAAGCUCUUUUACCCGGGAUGAUAAUGACAGUACCGGGAGAAUAAGCACCGGCUAACUCCGUG